CAAAGCAAAUCUUCAAAAUAUUUUCUCUCACUUCUCCUUCACCCCAUUUUCGCCCAUCCCACUUUCUCCCUCAUCUCUCACUUUUCCUCCAUUUUCCUCCAUUAUAGAAAACCUUCGGAGCUUCCAAAGAUAUUACCAAACACCUCAAUCCACUCUAAAACCUUCCAUAAACACAUUCUAGCCACUUGUAAUCAAGAAAAUCCUUGAAGAAGAGCUUCAAAGUUAGAGUGAGAAAGUGUGAACUUUGGUAAGAAACUUGGGUCCGAGCGAGACGAAGAAGUAAGUCGCCUGAUUUCUUUCCAGGUUGAGCGAAGGACUUCAGGCUAAGCGAGGAGCGAGAUUGGUCUGGUGCUGGUGGGGAAAUUGUUUAUCUAAUGUAUCUACUUUAUCGCAUUUCCAUUUUGACGAUAAAGUCUUGAUGAUUGGAAUAUUUUAUUUUUCUUUUGAAAUCAAACAAUAUACUCUCGGUUAUGUGUCUUCAUACAUAUAAUCGAUUCGCCUUUUGCUGCGAUACUCUGCAUAUUAUGAUUCCUUAUGAAAAAUGAGCUAUACCCGUUUUGUUUU